rnacentral:rRNA from 1 species
AGUCGAACGGCAGCACGGACUUCGGUCUGGUGGCGAGUGGCGAACGGGUGAGUAAUGUAUCAGACGUGCCUAGUAGCGGGGGAUAACUACGCGAAAGCGCAGCUAAUACCGCAUGCUACGCCCUUCCAGGGGGAAAGCGGGGGACCUUCGGGCCUGCCUAUUAGAGCGGCCGAUAUCGGAUUAGCUAGUUGGUGGGGUAACGGCUCACCAAGGCGACGAUCCGUAGCUGGUUUGAGAGGACGACCAGCCACACUGGGACUGAGACACGGCCCAGACUCCUACGGGAGGCAGCAGUGAAAUUUUGGACAAUGGGGAAACCCUGAUCCGUCAUCCCGCGUGUGCGAUGAAGGCCUUCGGGUUGUAAAGCACUUUUGGCAGGAAAGAAACAGCACGGGAUAAUACCCCGUGCAACUGACGGUACCUGCAGAAUAAGCACCGGCUAACUACGUGCCAACAGCCGCGGUAAUACGUAGAGGGUGCAAGCGUUAAUCGGAAUUGCUGGGCGUAAAGCGUGCGCAGGCGGUUCGGAAAAGAAAGAUGUGAAAUCCCAGAGCUUAACUGGAACUGCAUUUUUAACUACCGAGCUAGAGUGUGUCAAGAGGGAGGUGGAAUUCCGCGUGUAGCAGUGAAAUGCGUAGAUAUGCGGAGAGCUCUCUGAUAGUGGCUCGGAUUCUUUGACGCUCUUACAGCAGUGAGAACAACAAGAUUGAUACCUAGUGAUCCACGCCCUAAACGAUCGCUUCGCUGUUGGGCCUUCAGACCUUCAGGCAUGCAGCUAACGCGUGCAGUUGGUACUUCAGAUGCGAUUCACCGUUAAACUCAAGAUGACGGAGGUUCGCACAAGCGGUGGAUGAUGUGGAUUAAUUCGAUACAACGCGAAAAACCUUACCUACCCAUGACAUGUCUGGAAUCCCGAAGAGAUUUGGGAGUGCUCGCAAGAGAACCGGAACACAGGUGCUCAUGGCUGUCGUCAGCUCGUGUCGUGAGAUGUUGGGUUAAGUCCCGCAACGAGCGCAACCCUUGUCAUUAGUUGCUACGAAAGGGCACUCUAAUGAGACUGCCGGUGACAAACCGGAGGAAGGUGGGGAUGACGUCAUGGCCCUUAUGGGUAGGGCUUCACACGUCAUGCAAUGGUCGGGACAGAGGGUCGCCAACCCGCGAGGGGAGCCAAUCCCGAAACCCGAUCGUAGUCCGGAUCGCAGUCUGCAACUCGACUGCGUGAAGUCAGAAUCGCUAGUAAUCGCGGAUCAGCAUGUCGCGGUGAAUACGUUCCCGGGUCUUGUACACACCGCCCGUCACACCAUGGGAGUGGGUUUUACCAGAAGUAGUUAGCCUAACCGUAAGGAGGGCGAUUACCACGGUAGGAUUCAUGACUGGUGAAGUCGUAACAAGGUAG